UACGCCGUGUACCAUGCAGUCGAGCGGAUGAGAGGAGCUUGCUCUUCGAUUCAGCGGCGGACGGGUGAGUAAUGCCUAGGAAUCUGCCUAGUAGUGGGGGACAACGUUUCGAAAGGAACGCUAAUACCGCAUACGUCCUACGGGAGAAAGUGGGGGAUCUUCGGACCUCACGCUAUUAGAUGAGCCUAGGUCGGAUUAGCUAGUUGGUAGGGUAAAGGCCUACCAAGGCGACGAUCCGUAACUGGUCUGAGAGGAUGAUCAGUCACACUGGAACUGAGACACGGUCCAGACUCCUACGGGAGGCAGCAGUGGGGAAUAUUGGACAAUGGGCGAAAGCCUGAUCCAGCCAUGCCGCGUGUGUGAAGAAGGCCUUCGGGUCGUAAAGCACUUUAAGUUGGGAGGAAGGGCUCAUAGCGAAUACCUGUGAGUUUUGACGUUACCAACAGAAUAAGCACCGGCUAACUUCGUGCCAGCAGCCGCGGUAAUACGAAGGGUGCAAGCGUUAAUCGGAAUUACUGGGCGUAAAGCGCGCGUAGGUGGCUUGAUAAGUUGGAUGUGAAAUCCCCGGGCUCAACCUGGGAACUGCAUCCAAAACUGUCUGGCUAGAGUGCGGUAGAGGGUAGUGGAAUUUCCAGUGUAGCGGUGAAAUGCGUAGAUAUUGGAAGGAACACCAGUGGCGAAGGCGACUACCUGGACUGACACUGACACUGAGGUGCGAAAGCGUGGGGAGCAAACAGGAUUAGAUACC
rnacentral:rRNA from 1 species